GACAGAGGGUGCAAACGUUGUUCGGAAUUACUGGGCGUAAAGCGCGUGUAGGCGGCCCUGCAAGUCGGAUGUGAAAUCCCACGGCUCAACCGUGGAAGUGCAUUCGAAACUGCAGGGCUAGAGUCCUGGAGAGGAAGGUGGAAUGCUUGGUGUAGAGGUGAAAUUCGUAGAUAUCAAGCGGAACACCGGUGGCGAAGGCGGCCUCUGGACAGUGACUGACGCUGAGACGCGAAAGCGUGGGGAGCAAAGCAGGG
rnacentral:rRNA from 1 species